UACGAAGGGGGCUAGCGUUGCUCGGAAUCACUGGGCGUAAAGGGCGCGUAGGCGGACUCUUAAGUCGGGGGUGAAAGCCCAGGGCUCAACCCUGGAAUUGCCUUCGAUACUGAGAGUCUUGAGUUCGGAAGAGGUUGGUGGAACUGCGAGUGUAGAGGUGAAAUUCGUAGAUAUUCGCAAGAACACCAGUGGCGAAGGCGGCCAACUGGCCCGUAACUGACGCUCAGGCACGAAAGCGUGGGUAGCGAACAGG
rnacentral:rRNA from 1 species